UGGGGAAUAUUGCACAAUGGGCGCAAGCCUGAUGCAGCCAUGCCGCGUGUAUGAAGAAGGCCUUCGGGUUGUAAAGUACUUUCAGCGGGGAGGAAGGUGUUGAGGUUAAUAACCUCAGCAAUUGACGUUACCCGCAGAAGAAGCACCGGCUAACUCCGUGCCAGCAGCCGCGGUAAUACGGAGGGUGCAAGCGUUAAUCGGAAUUACUGGGCGUAGAGCGCACGCAGGCGGUCUGUCAAGUCGGAUGGGAAAUCCCCGGGCUCAACCUGGGAACUGCAUUCGAAACUGGCAGGCUAGAGUCUUGUAGAGGGGGGUAGAAUUCCAGGUGUAGCGGCGAAAUGCGUAGAGAUCUGGAGGAAUACCGGUGGCGAAGGCGGCCCCCUGGACAAAGACUGACGCUCAGGUGCGAAAGCGUGGGGAGCAAACA
rnacentral:rRNA from 1 species